UAGGAGUUAAAUCACUCAGUUUCUGUUUAUGCAGCCCUAGCCACACCUCCCCUGGCUAUGACUGACAGAGCCUGCAUGAAAAAAAAACUGGUUUCACUUUCAAACAGAUGUAAUUUACCUUAAAUAAUUGUAUCUCAAUCUCUAAAUUGAACUUAAAUCACAUACAGGAGGCUCUUGCAGGGUCUAGCAAGCUAUUAACAUAGCAGGGGAUAAGAAAAUCUUAAUUAAACAGAACUUGCAAUAAAGAAAGCCUAAAUAGGGC